AGAGUUUGAUCCUGGCUCAGAACGAACGCUGGCGGCAGGCUUAACACAUGCAAGUCGAGCGCGUGAGCAAUCACGAGCGGCAGACGGGUGAGUAACGCGUGGGAAUCUACCUAUCUCUACGGAAUAACGCAUGGAAACGUGUGCUAAUACCGUAUACGCCCUCAGGGGGAAAGAUUUAUCGGAGAUGGAUGAGCCCGCGUUGGAUUAGCUAGUUGGUGGGGUAAAGGCCUACCAAGGCGACGAUCCAUAGCUGGUCUGAGAGGAUGAUCAGCCACAUUGGGACUGAGACACGGCCCAAACUCCUACGGGAGGCAGCAGUGGGGAAUAUUGGACAAUGGGCGCAAGCCUGAUCCAGCCAUGCCGCGUGAGUGAUGAAGGCCCUAGGGUUGUAAAGCUCUUUCACCGGAGAAGAUAAUGACGGUAUCCGGAGAAGAAGCCCCGGCUAACUUCGUGCCAGCAGCCGCGGUAAU
rnacentral:rRNA from 1 species